UACAGAGGUCUCAAGCGUUGUUCGGAUUCAUUGGGCGUAAAGGGUGCGUAGGUGGCGAGGUAAGUCUGGUGUGAAAUCCCGGGGCUCAACCCCGGAACUGCACUGGAUACUGCCCUGCUGGAGUACUGGAGAGGAGAUUGGAAUUUACGGUGUAGCAGUGAAAUGCGUAGAUAUCGUAAGGAAGACCAGCGGCGAAGGCGAGUCUCUGGACAGCAACUGACGCUGAGGCACGAAGGCCAGGGGAGCAAACGGG
rnacentral:rRNA from 1 species